rnacentral:lncRNA from 1 species
AUGCUUACAAUGGCUCUACUGUUUAUUGCAAAUUUGUUGCAUGUGUUCAUGGCAUAAUGGAGGGUUCUUUUGAUAUCAUUAUUAGCAGCAAUAUUGUUCCUGAAGGCACUGCAUUGCGACUGAUUAUUAUCUAUCUUGACUAUUUAUCUUGCUGUUUUCUGUUGAGAAAUUAUCUUACUCCUGUCAGGCGCUGGAUUGACAGCUUUACAAAUAGCAAAAACUUGACCUCCCAGGGGUGGUGUGUGGGGC